UGCCUGUAUGCUGCCAUCCUUUGCACCACGA
rnacentral:piRNA from 1 species